rnacentral:rRNA from 2 species
UCUGGUGUCAGCCGCCGCGGUAAAACCAGCACCUCAAGUGGUCAGGAUGAUUAUUGGGCCUAAAGCAUCCGUAGCCUGCUUUGUUAGUUUUCGGUUAAAUCCAUACGCUCAACGUAUGGGCUGCCGGGAAUACUGCAAAGCUAGGGAGUGGGAGAGGUAGACGGUACUCGGUAGGAAGGGGUAAAAUCCUUUGAUCUACUGAUGACCACCUGUGGCGAAGGCGGUCUACCAGAACACGUCCGACGGUGAGGGAUGAAAGCUGGGGGAGCAAACCGGAUUAGAUACCCGGGUAGUCCCAGCUGUAAACUAUGCAAACUCGGUGAUGCAUUGGCUUGAUGCCAAUGCAGUGCCGCAGGGAAGCCGUUAAGUUUGCCGCCUGGGAAGUACGUACGCAAGUAUGAAACUUAAAGGAAUUGGCGGGGGAGCACCACAAGGGGUGAAGCCUGCGGUUCAAUUGGAGUCAACGCCAGAAAUCUUACCCGGAGAGACAGCAGAAUGAAGGUCAAGCUGAAGACUUUACCAGACAAGCU